rnacentral:tRNA from 1 species
GAGGGUUUAGCUCAGCAGUAGAGGGCAUGCUUAGCAUGCAUGAGGUCCUAGGUUCAUUCCCUAGCACCUUCU